rnacentral:rRNA from 1 species
UACGAAGGGGGCUAGCGUUGCUCGGAAUCACUGGGCGUAAAGCGCACGUAGGCGGAUUGUUAAGUCAGGGGUGAAAUCCUGGAGCUCAACUCCAGAACUGCCUUUGAUACUGGCGAUCUCGAGUCCGGGAGAGGUGAGUGGAACUGCGAGUGUAGAGGUGAAAUUCGUAGAUAUUCGCAAGAACACCAGUGGCGAAGGCGGCUCACUGGCCCGGAACUGGACGCUGAGACGCGAAAGCGUGGGGAGCAAA